rnacentral:lncRNA from 1 species
GUGUGUGCCUGUAAUCCCACCUACUUGGGAGGCUGAGGCAGGAGAAUCGCUUGAACCCAGGAGUCGGAGGUUGCAGUAAGCUGAGAUCGCGCCACUGCACUUCAGCCUUGUGGCAGAGUGAGACUCCGUCUCAAAAAAACAAACAAACAAACAAACAAAAAACCCAAAGGUUCUUUGGACUGGUGGAUAUCCCUACCUUAUACUAUUUCAUAAAUAAUCAUGCACUGGAUAAUUGUCACAACUUUGAAGUUACUCUAAGAAUUAUGAUGGUGGAGCUGAGUCACACUUUUUAUUACAGAGAAUUCUGCCCAGGCCCUUUGCAGUGUCCUAGGGCACGCUUACUUCCAGGCUUUAGGAGUGAGAGUUCACUGGCUUAAGUGAGGAGUACACAGGACCUGCACAUCUGACCUCUCUCAAGGACUAGGCAUUGAGCUGGGAGAUAGGAAGAUCAACAGGAUCAGAGCUUUGCCUUCAAGGAGCCACACAAAAGGGAGUGGGUCCAUUCUGUUCUGCAUCAGUAGAAACCAUACCUGUUUGCCAUUG